rnacentral:lncRNA from 1 species
AUUUCACUUGCCCUCUACUGGUGAUCCUCUUUCCUCAGCCUCCUGUGUGUGUGCCUGUAUUUAAGUACACCAGUGUUAACUGUUUUUUAAGUAUACAAUUUAGUGGCUUUAGGCAUAUUUCCAGUGUUGCACAGCUGUGAUGUUGAUGCAAUUCACUUCCAUGUCUUUUUUCAGUGAUCCAAACAAGCCGCAUUCUUUAGAUAAAGGUUUUCCUUUCUCCUAUUAAUGUUUUGUCUCAGAAAUUUGCCCAAAUCUAGUGUUUGUUAUACAGUGAGAAUAGCUGGAACAUGGCUUAAGAUAAACAGUAAGGUGUAGAUGAGAAGUUUGUUUUCUUCAGGCUUGGCGGUGGGAGAGAGAGAUUGAUGAGCGCAACCGCCCACUUUCUGAUGAGGAAUUAGAUGCUAUGUUCCCAGAAGGAUACAAGGUCCUUCCCCCUCCAGCUGGCUAUGUUCCUAUUCGAACUCCAGCUCGAAAGCUGACAGCAACUCCCACACCUUUGGGCGGUAUGACUGGUUUUCACAUGCAAACUGAAGACAGAACUAUGAAAAGUGUCAACGACCAGCCAUCUGGGAAUCUUCCAUUUCUAAAACCUGAUGACAUUCAGUACUUUGACAAACUAUUGGUUGAUGUAGAUGAGUCAACACUUAGUCCAGAAGAGC